rnacentral:rRNA from 1 species
UUAAAUGAAUAAGGGCGUAUGGUGGAUGCCUAGGCAUGUAGAGCAGAAGAAGGACGCAGCUAACGGCGAAACGCGACGGGGAGUGGUAAGCACACAUCGAUCCGUCGGUCUCCGAAUGGGGAAACCCAGCGCGAGUAAUGUCGCGUUACCCAUGAGUGAAAAGAUAGCUCAUGAGGAGAGAACCCAGGGAAUUGAAACAUCUUAGUACCUGGAGGAAAAGAAAAUAAGAAUGAUUCCCUCAGUAGCGGCGAGCGAACGGGGAAGAGCCCAAACCAGCCUUAGGGCUGGGGUAGUAGGACCACAAGGUGGUACGUUGACCGAUAGAAGAAGGACAUUGAAAGGUCCGCCAAAGAGGGUGCAAGCCCCGUAAUCGAAAUUGGGAGCUGACCUAGUGGAAUCCUGAGUACGGCGAGGCACGUGGAACCUUGUCGGAAGCAUCCGGGACCAUCCGGAAAGGCUAAAUACUCCUACAUGACCGAUAGUGAACCAGUACCGUGAGGGAAAGGUGAAAAGAACCGCGGGAGCGGAGUGAAAUAGAACCUGAAACCAUAUGCUUACAAGAAGACAGAGCCCGUUAAGGGGUGAUGUCGUGCCUUUUGUAGAAUGAACCGGCGAGUUAUCUUAUCGUGCGAGGUUAAGUGGAAGACACGGAGCCGAAGCGAAAGCGAGUCUGAAUAGGGCGAGAGUACGAUGAGAUAGACCCGAAGCCGUAGUGAUCUAGCCAUGACCAGGUUGAAGUUUGGGUGAAACCAAAUGGAGGACCGAACCGACCCCCGUUGAAAAGUUGGCGGAUGAGUUGUGGCUAGCGGAGAAAUUCCAAUCGAACACGGCGAUAGCUGGUUCUCCCCGAAAUAGCUUUAGGGCUAGCGUCGAAGUAAGGGUAGUGGAGGUAGAGCACUGAAUUCAUGAUGGCGCCGUCAAGGUGUACUGAAUGAAAUCAAACUCCGAAUGCCAUUAUUGAAUCUUCGGCAGUCAGACUGUGGGUGAUAAGGUCCAUGGUCAAAAGGGAAACAGCCCAGAUCAUCAGUUAAGGUCCCAAAAUUACCGCUAAGUGGAAAAGGAUGUGGGGAUGCACAGACAACUAGGAGGUUGGCUUAGAAGCAGCCACCCUUCAAAGAGUGCGUAACAGCUCACUAGUCGAGUGACCCUGCGCCGAAAAUUAACCGGGGCUAAGCGGUAUACCGAAACUAUGGCAAUGACUACGGUCAUUGGGUAGGGGAGCGUUCCAUGGGCAUGGAAGCCGUACCGUAAGGAGCGGUGGAGCGCAUGGAAGUGAGAAUGCCGGUGUGAGUAGCGAGAUGCAGGUGAGAAUCCUGCACACCGAUAGACCAAGGAUUCCAGGGGAAGGUUCGUCCGCCCUGGGUAAGUCGGGACCUAAGGCGAGGCUGAAAAGCGUAGUCGAUGGAAAACAGGUUGAUAUUCCUGUACCCGCGCAUCGAGUGAUGGAGUGACAAAGAAGGCUAACCGGACCGGUAAAUGGAUUCCGGACCAAGCGAGGUAGGAGGCAGUCAGGCAAAUCCGGCUGUCAAUCUGAAGGCGUGAUGAGGAGCGAACGGGCGACCCAGUAGCGAAGACGGCGAUGCCAGCUUUCAAGAAAAGCUUCUAGCGCAAAUCAAUGAGCGGCCCGUACCAAAACCGACACAGGUGGUCAAGGCGAGAAGCCUAAGGUGAGCGAGAGAACUGUUGCCAAGGAACUCGGCAAAAUAGCCCCGUACGUUCGCAAGAAGGGGCGCUCGAAAGAGCCGCAGUGAAGAGGCCCAAGCAACUGUUUAACUAAAACACAGCUCUCUGCAAAGUCGCAAGACGAAGUAUAGGGGGUGACGCCUGCCCGGUGCUGGAAGGUUAAGAGGAUGUGUUAGUCGUAAGACGAAGCAUUGAAUUGAAGCCCCAGUGAACGGCGGCCGUAACUAUAACGGUCCUAAGGUAGCGAAAUUCCUUGUCAGGUAAGUUCUGACCCG